rnacentral:pre_miRNA from 1 species
UGGUGGUGAUGAUGAUGAUGAUGGUGGUGAUCAUGAUGAUGGUGAUGGCGAUCAUCAUCCUCAUGAUCAUCAUCAUUGUUAUCAUUAAAA